UACAGAGGUCCCAAGCGUUGUUCGGAUUCAUUGGGCGUAAAGGGUGCGUAGGUGGCGCUGUAAGUCAGGUGUGAAAUUUCGGAGCUUAACUCCGAAACUGCAUUUGAUACUGCGGUGCUUGAGGACUGGAGAGGAGACUGGAAUUUACGGUGUAGCAGUGAAAUGCGUAGAGAUCGUAAGGAAGACCAGUGGCGAAGGCGGGUCUCUGGACAGUUCCUGACACUGAGGCACGAAGGCCAGGGGAGCAAACGGG
rnacentral:rRNA from 1 species